rnacentral:tRNA from 1 species
GGGAAUGUGACUUAGUGGUAGAGUGCUUGUCUUGCAUGCAUGAAGCCCUGGGUUCGAUUUCUUAGCACCA